AUUUUCUAUUCUUUUUAGGUUUAUAUAUGGUGACUGCUAAAAGUAUAACACAGAGUGAUUCAAUGAGGAAUCAUCAGGAAGACCAGCCCCAGUGUGGACUUGACCACCAGCUAUCUCGGGACCUCGAGCAGAUCUCUUUUCCAACCUGAACUUCAGUUUCUGUGUCUGAAGAAGGAUGUGAUAUUUUCCCUGCUAACUUCAGGACCAUCCUCCACAUCGGUCCCAUGACGCCUGAAACAUUAUGUUCAGAAGAACACCAUUCUCUCAACAGAGAUACCCGCUGCUGACCCGAGAGACCAAGCCAGACUGUGCACCUCAUCACAGGAGAGGAAGCAGCAUGAGCCCUGGAGGUUAAAUGAAUUAACUCCCCCAAUCACCUGAGCAAAAGAGACCAGAACUCCUUCUUCCGUUGGGGCCACCUGAUGAAAACAGAUGAACUGUCUUCUCAAACGUACAGAUAUUAGGCUGCACAAUUCUCCGGGUCUAUACAAGUAUGGAGAAGUAAAUCCAUUUACUGAUAAACCAGUCUGUAAAUUUCCAUGGAAGAGCCGAUGACAUAUAGAAGAAAGCAUAACCUCUGGUU